GUUGUGGCUUAGUGGUAGAGCACUUGUCCGGAAUAUGUGAGGCCCUGAGUUCAAUCCUCAGCACCACA
rnacentral:tRNA from 1 species